UCUUUUCUCUGCGCUCCGUUUGCCGGCCUCUCUCUCUGUUCUCGCGGUCUCCCUGUCUGUGGUGGUUUCCGAUCUCCCAAGCGCGAAACGCUUGGUUUGCCGGUAUCCCUAUUCUUCCGUUCUCCUCCUCCGAUUGUCGCCGGUAUCUAUCGCCUCUACAAACUUACAAGCAUAAAACUUACUCAAGCAUAAGGAAUUGUUUCAUGGAUGUGUUGAACGCACUGUUGAAGUUUCUUACUAUCAACGAGAUUUUUGAGAAGAACCCCACCAAAAUUGAUAAUUAUGGUAUUUGACUACGUUAUCAUAGCUGAACGGGGUACCAUAAUAUGUACAAGGAGUUCUGUGACACCACUCUAAAUGGUACCUUAGAGCAAAUGUACAACGAAAUGGCCUCUCGUUUACGAAGGAAGUGAAAAUAGUUAUUGCAACAAUGACGCUCCAUAAUUACAUUAGGAAGCAUGAUAAGGGUAAUCGACAUUUUCAAAGGGUCGAGGAUAAUCCAGAUGUUUUCGUUUAUGAAGAGAAUCAAUCAUAGGACAAUGUAGAAGAAAAUCAAGCUUUACUAUCACCGGAAAUGGAUAAAAUACGAGAUCAAAUUAUGGCAAGUUUAAUGAACACGACUUAAUUCUUUUCAUGCAUCUACCAAUUUUUGAACAAUGAAUGUACAUUUUGUUCAACAAAUUGAUUACUCACUAAUGCUCCUUUAAUUGUAACUAUAUUGUGA